rnacentral:rRNA from 1 species
UACGGGGGGGGCAAGCGUUGUCCGGAAUUAUUGGGCGUAAAGAGCGCGUAGGCGGUCCGGUAAGUCGGCUGUGAAAGUCCAGGGCUCAACCCUGGGAUGCCGGUCGAUACUGCCGGACUAGAGUUCGGAAGAGGCGAGUGGAAUUCCCGGUGUAGCGGUGAAAUGCGCAGAUAUCGGGAGGAACACCUAUGGCGAAGGCAGCUCGCUGGGACGUUGCUGACGCUGAGACGCGAAAGCGUGGGGAGCGAACAGG